rnacentral:rRNA from 1 species
UACGGAGGGUGCAAGCGUUAUCCGGAUUCACUGGGCGUAAAGGGCGCGUAGGCGGCCCGCUAAGUCGAACGUGAAAUCCCCAGGCUCAACCUGGGAACUGCGUCCGAUACUGGCAGGCUUGAAUCCGGGAGAGGGAUGUGGAAUUCCAGGUGUAGCGGUGAAAUGCGUAGAUAUCUGGAGGAACACCGGUGGCGAAGGCGGCAUCCUGGACCGGUAUUGACGCUGAGGCGCGAAAGCUAGGGGAGCAAACGGGG